rnacentral:rRNA from 1 species
UGGGGAAUAUUGCGCAAUGGGCGAAAGCCUGACGCAGCGACGCCGCGUGGGGGAUGACGGCCUUCGGGUUGUAAACCUCUUUCAGCAGGGACGAAGCGAAAGUGACGGUACCUGCAGAAGAAGCACCGGCCAACUACGUGCCAGCAGCCGCGGUAAUACGUAGGGUGCAAGCGUUGUCCGGAAUUAUUGGGCGUAAAGAGCUCGUAGGCGGUUCGUCGCGUCGGCUGUGAAAUCCCGAGGCUCAACCUCGGGUCUGCAGUCGAUACGGGCGGACUGGAGUACUGCAGGGGAGACUGGAAUUCCUGGUGUAGCGGUGAAAUGCGCAGAUAUCAGGAGGAACACCGGUGGCGAAGGCGGGUCUCUGGGCAGUUACUGACGCUGAGGAGCGAAAGCGUGGGGAGCGAACAG